UUCGACACACUAUCAUUAACUGAAUCCAUAGGUUAAUGAGGCGAACCGGGGGAACUGAAACAUCUAAGUACCCCGAGGAAAAGAAAUCAACCGAGAUUCCCCCAGUAGCGGCGAGCGAACGGGGAGCAGCCCAGAGCCUGAAUCAGUAUGUGUGUUAGUGGAAGCGUCUGGAAAGGCGCGCGAUACAGGGUGACAGCCCCGUACACAAAAAUGCACAUGCUGUGAGCUCGAUGAGUAGGGCGGGACACGUGGUAUCCUGUCUGAAUAUGGGGGGACCAUCCUCCAAGGCUAAAUACUCCUGACUGACCGAUAGUGAACCAGUACCGUGAGGGAAAGGCGAAAAGAACCCCGGCGAGGGGAGUGAAAAAGAACCUGAAACCGUGU
rnacentral:rRNA from 1 species